UAAUGGUGAUGACGAUGAUGAUGAUGAUGAUCAUCAUCAUCAUAAACAUUCUUA
rnacentral:miRNA from 1 species